rnacentral:misc_RNA from 1 species
AUAUAAUCAACCUCUUCAGCUUUUGCUUGUUGAGUGUUGGAUGUGGGGGUAACUUUUUGCUGGCCUCUCUCUGAGGUCAGCUCCCCUGAAAUGUAUUAGCGGAAUAAUUUGUGGACCGUUCAUUGGUGUGAUAACUAUCUACGCUAUUGACGUGAAGCAAUUCUGCUUCUAACAGUCCAUUGACUUGGACAAAUUUCAUUA